rnacentral:siRNA from 1 species
CAACGCCAUUCUUCUGCUCAUGA